CCUACGGGGGGCAGCAGUGGGGAAUAUUGGACAAUGGGCGAAAGCCUGAUCCAGCCAUGCCGCGUGUGUGAAGAAGGCCUUCGGGUUGUAAAGCACUUUCAGUGGGGAAGAAAGCCUUGGGGCUAAUACCCUCGAGGAAGGACAUCACCCACAGAAGAAGCACCGGCUAACUCCGUGCCAGCAGCCGCGGUAAUACGGAGGGUGCGAGCGUUAAUCGGAAUUACUGGGCGUAAAGCGCGCGUAGGCGGUCUGAUAAGCCGGUUGUGAAAGCCCCGGGCGCAACCUGGGAACGGCAUCCGGAACUGUCAGGCUAGAGUGCAGUGGAGGAAGGUAGAAUUCCCGGUGUAGCGGUGAAAUGCGUAGAGAUCGGGAGGAAUACCAGUGGCGAAGGCGGCCUUCUGGACUGACACUGACGCUGAGGUGCGAAAGCGUGGGUAGCAAACAGGAUUAGAUACCCGAGUAGUC
rnacentral:rRNA from 1 species